UGCAUCACUGUUGUGCUUUGGUUGUCC
rnacentral:piRNA from 1 species